GAUAAAGCAUGUGCACGAUACUUCACAAAGUUUCCAAGGGAAAAUGCAUUGCAGGAGAUAAGCACAGUCUUGCCAGGGCUCUGAAAGCUGAGAGGAGGCACAGAACCUCCUGGCUGGGGGAAGCGUGCUGUGUGUGGUUCUGGCUGGGCUGCUAAGGAACAGGCAAGCUCAGGUGGCAGGGCGGGAUUCAAAUUUCCAUUUUCCAGGCAAAGGAAGCUGAGUCUCAUGUGGUUUCAGGGCUAGCCCAAGGUAACAGUGCCAUGGAGAGGCUGCUCUAGGAUUCAAACCUACGUCUGGCAACUCCAAAGACUAUGCUGGUUUCACCACACACAGGCUUGAAAUUGAUGGAUUUGGGUUGGGGGCUGAUCCAUUUUAUCUUCCUUUGUUCAACACAGGUCCCAUCUGAUGGAGGAGAAUCAAUUCAAGGAGAUGCCCUUCCUUUACAGAACACCCUUUAACAGCAUCCAGGAGGAACGAGAGGCUGCAAUACUGAGGCUUUCAAAGUACUCACGAGGAUGUCCGAGAAUGGCUGUGAUGCCAGGCUUCUGGCAGGUUCCAGACUCCAUCACAAGCCCAGCAUCCCUGCACCAGAUCUGACAUCGCUGCUGUUGUGCCAGCUGUUUAUGAAGGGCCUGAGUAGCUAGCAGGUUUUUAUCAGGAGCCCUGCUGGGGGCUUAGACACCAAAAGAGAAGACUCAUCCUCUGUAGUUCUUCUUGUGAAUGUCCUUUUAGAAAAACAAUUAGAACCAACCACAAGCACCAAAGUCCUAAUGGGAUCUCCUGCGAGCACAUAUCAAGCAGGAUUGUUGCUAUUUCUCCUCACUGGCUCUUUGGACAGACUGUGUGAGCUCCUGGAGGGUUCCACUGUAUCUACCCUUUGACACUGACCAGUUGGCACAUGGUGACAUAUUCCAAUGUGUUGAUUGCAAAUGUGAACGUACAGCCAGUGCUGUGUGCGGGAGGACUCUCUCCUCCUCAGUGGGGCCACACCGUGCACUAUUAAUGGAGCCCCACUCCUUUGCACAGCCUGGCCAUGCAGUGGCUCAUAUUGAGGUUUUAGCCAACUGAAAUCUCCCGUGCAUUUUUCUGACAAGCCAGCUAGGCCUCUGCUAUGCUGUCCUUGUGUCUUUCAUUUGAUGACCUUAAGGGUGGGACUGUUUUAUCUUAAGUUACAGGUGGUCAAGUCCAGCCCAAGGACAGCAACUCUGAGGGUCAAGCCUCAUAGGCUAACUGGAUAGAUGUUCUCUGCUUUGCCACCCACUGGAGCCCGACCUGCCCCACUAAUUUAUAUUUCCCCUGGUCUCAUUUUGUACUUUUUAUUUAUAAUUCACCCUUAAAGUGUAUGUGUCUCUUAUAAGCUGCCUCCGAUCUUUCAUGGUAUGAGGUGGUUACCUAAAUAAAGAAGGAGAUUUGGCCUUUGUUUUUAUGUAACAG
rnacentral:lncRNA from 10 species